GAUAUACAUUUGUCACGCCUGGUGCUGGUGGAAAGGGACGAGGUCGAGGGCUUAAAUCUUUGGGUUCUAUAGGGAAGGAACGAGCACAAGGACUUAAAAACUCUACCGUGUCCACUAGUCAAGGAAUACAAAUUAUGCAUAAGAACCUCAUGGCUUUUGAGAAAGAGAACAUUCAAAUUAAUACUUCAUCUCCAACAUUUACUAAUCAAGUUAAGAAAUACACCCAUGAAGUUGAAACAAGUAAGAUCUUUUCAAAUGUAUUGUAUUUUUUGAAAAUCUAUUGUGUUUUCAUGUUUUUGAUAAACUUUAAUAUCAUGUUUAGUGGGUCCAAGUGCUAUAGGAAAGGGACUAGAAAAAAGAACUGGAUCUUUGAGCUCCUCUAUAGGAAUUUCUGAAUAUGAGGUGGGAUCUUUCAACAAGAGUGCUAUUUUUGCUAAUGAUACUCCUACUAAAUGCACCAAAUCGAGUUUUACCAUGUCUUCUAGUCAAGAAAAGCAAAAAAUGAAAAAAUUAGUUCUUGAGAAAGAGGAUAUGCAAACCAAUGUUUCAUUGCCUUCAUCUAUUGAUCAAGUUAUGAAACACUCUCAAACAAUAGAAAAAUGUUCAUCUAAUCCUACAAAGGUAAAAAGAGUUCGAGGAAGCAACAAGUGCAAAUAAGUUGCUUAACUUGAAAUUGGACAAAAGCUGAAAGUAACAUUUUACAAUAAUCGAACGGUUGGAACAAAUAACAAUCUUUUUUCAGGGCAUUUGGAAAAAAAUGUUUGUCAUCGUAAUAUUUGU